UACGUAGGGGGCAAGCGUUGUCCGGAUUCAUUGGGCGUAAAGAGCUCGUAGGCGGCUUGUUGCGUCGGCUGUGAAAUCCCGGGGCUUAACUCCGGGCGUGCAGCCGAUACGGGCAGGCUAGAGUCCGGUAGGGGAGACUGGAAUUCCUGGUGUAGCGGUGAAAUGCGCAGAUAUCAGGAGGAACACCGGUGGCGAAGGCGGGUCUCUGGGCCGGUACUGACGCUAAGGAGCGAAAGCGUGGGGAGCGAACAGG
rnacentral:rRNA from 1 species